AGACAUGAAAACUGUGUAGCUGCCAACAAAGAAAACAGAGAUCACUCUUUUGACUCAUUUGUCAGGCUGGAAAUGUAUGAACAGCAGGAUUCAGAGGCUAGCCACUGACUUCUUCAAGCAGAUCAUCACACAAGGCACAGAGCUGGCAUUCUUCUGGAACUACAGCUGUAUCAUCUGGGAAUGCUGGUUACUCAGAUAAACACAUCUGACCGGAAAGGCAGGCUGCACCUUAACAAGUGCUGUGAGAAGAGCACCAGCUUAUUGCCAGAUGACGACAAGCUGAGAAAACACCAAGCAUUUCUUUACUCCCCGUGACCUGAUGUGGCUUCUUCCCCAUACAUAUAUAUUGGUAAGGCAUCCUUGAAAACCGAUCUGUGUUCGACAGCUUUCAUCUAGCCACAAGCAGAAGUCAGUCGCCAAGACUCAGCUGGUCCCUGCCCUUGGUGAGAUCGUCCAUACUUGGCUCUUCUCCGUGCAUGUGUUAGGAUGGAAUGCUUACUGUUCCAGAGAACGCUCCCAGUGAAUCAGAACAUUAGGAAGGGAUACUUAGAAGAAUGGAGAACCAAGGGAAGAAAACCCAAGAAGAAAAUAGCAGAAUAAGCAAGUUAUGUGUUGAAGAUUCAGAGGUAUAUGAGCAAAGCAAAAAAUCUCACUUCCACCCUACCCCUACAUGCAAAUCAUUAUGAUUUUCAGACACAGUGCAUAUACACUAUGAGAAGAGGUAUAGAAGGAAGAAUAAAGCGGAAAUAGUAAAAAUGCUUCUUUGUAACCCUAAAUGCAAUUAUCUAAGUGAAAAACUUAGUUUGAUUGGAAAACCAACCACAAAGUGGAAUUAAGGGACAUAUUUGCAGACAUAAAAAUUUUAAGCCACAAAUUUACAGUUCUAGAAAUGCAAACAUCUUUUAUAAUUUUAUUAUUUUCCCUAACAGAUUAAUUAAAAAACUAAGAUAAAGUUUGUGAAU